AGUUAGCAGCAGGAUUCUGGAUGGCUGACACCGAUGCUGCUGCACCUUUUGGAAAAAAUGGAUCCAACUGCUUGCCCCGUCAUCCCAGAUGGCUAGGCCCCCAUUCAUCCCCUCUCGCUCUCCUACUGGAGGAACUGCUGUAUGAAUCAUAAAGCUCUGGGUAGGGAAGCAGGGAGCAGGUUCCAGGCAGAGCUGACAAGUGACUUCACUUUUGAGCAUCGGUUGAACCAGAUUUAACGUCUCUUCCAGUUCUAA
ensembl:lncRNA novel transcript